GAUGAACGCUGGCGGCGUGCCUAAUACAUGCAAGUCGAGCGAACAGACGAGGAGCUUGCUCCUCUGACGUUAGCGGCGGACGGGUGAGUAACACGUGGAUAACCUACCUAUAAGACUGGGAUAACUUCGGGAAACCGGAGCUAAUACCGGAUAAUAUAUUGAACCGCAUGGUUCAAUAGUGAAAGACGGUUUUGCUGUCACUUAUAGAUGGAUCCGCGCCGCAUUAGCUAGUUGGUAAGGUAACGGCUUACCAAGGCGACGAGGCGUAGCCGACCUGAGAGGGUGAUCGGCCGCACUGGAACUGAGACACGGUCCAGACUCCUACGGGAGGCAGCAGUAGGGAAUCUUCCGCAAUGGGCGAAAGCCUGACGGAGCAACGCCGCGUGAGUGAUGAAGGUCUUCGGAUCGUAAAACUCUGUUAUUAGGGAAGAACAAAUGUGUAAGUAACUAUGCACGUCUUGACGGUACCUAAUCAGAAAGCCACGGCUAACUACGUG
rnacentral:rRNA from 1 species